CGGGGAGCAGCCCAGAGCCUGAAUCAGUGUGUGUGUUAGUGGAAGCGUCUGGAAAGGCGCGCGAUACAGGGUGACAGCCCCGUACACAAAAAUGCACAUGCUGUGAGCUCGAUGAGUAGGGCGGGACACGUGGUAUCCUGUCUGAAUAUGGGGGGACCAUCCUCCAAGGCUAAAUACUCCUGACUGACCGAUAGUGAACCAGUACCGUGAGGGAAAGGCGAAAAGAACCCCGGCGAGGGGAGUGAAAAAGAACCUGAAACCGUGUACGUACAAGCAGUGGGAGCACGCUUAGGCGUGUGACUGCGUACCUUUUGUAUAAUGGGUCAGCGACUUAUAUUCUGUAGCAAGGUUAACCGAAUAGGGGAGCCGAAGGGAAACCGAGUCUUAACUGGGCGUUAAGUUGCAGGGUAUAGACCCGAAACCCGGUGAUCUAGCCAUGGGCAGGUUGAAGGUUGGGUAACACUAACUGGAGGACCGAACCGACUAAUGUUGAAAAAUUAGCGGAUGACUUGUGGCUGGGGGUGAAAGGCCAAUCAAACCGGGAGAUAGCUGGUUCUCCCCGAAAGCUAUUUAGGUAGCGCCUCGUGAAUUCAUCUCCGGGGGUAGAGCACUGUUUCGGCAAGGGGGUCAUCCCGACUUACCAACCCGAUGCAAACUGCGAAUACCGGAGAAUGUUAUCACGGGAGACACACGGCGGGUGCUAACGUCCGUCGUGAAGAGGGAAACAACCCAGACCGCCAGCUAAGGUCCCAAAGUCAUGGUUAAGUGGGAAACGAUGUGGGAAGGCCCAGACAGCCAGGAUGUUGGCUUAGAAGCAGCCAUCAUUUAAAGAAAGCGUAAUAGCUCACUGGUCGAGUCGGCCUGCGCGGAAGAUGUAACGGGGCUAAACCAUG
rnacentral:rRNA from 1 species